rfam:Arthrospira platensis NIES-39 DNA, nearly complete genome.
CUACGGACUUAGAAAACUGAGCCUUGGGGUGAGAAAUCCCUCAAGUGACUGCUCUCAAACUCAGGGAAACCUAAAUCUGUUCGCAGACAAGGCAAUCCUGAGCCAAGCCCUUGAAGGGGUGAAGGAAAUAUAUAAUUUCUGGAACUUCUUUAUGCGAAGGUGCAGAGACUCGAGGGGAGCUACCCUAACGUUAAGCCGAGGGUAAAGGGAGAGUCCAAUUCUCAAGGCAAUUAGGCG